rnacentral:misc_RNA from 1 species
UAGAGUUGUAAAACUCCCAACCCAUGUGAACAUACCUCUGUUGCCUCGGUGGCCUACCCGGCGGCUAUUUACUUAGCUACCCUGUAGUCCGCCGAAGGAAUACUAAACUCUUGUUUUUUGGAAUCUCUGAAUCAAAUACAAAUAAGUUA